rnacentral:rRNA from 1 species
AUUGAACGCUGACGGCAGGCCUAACACAUGCAAGUCGAACGGUAGCACAGAGAGCUUGCUCUCGGGUGACGAGUGGCGGACGGGUGAGUAAUGUCUGGGAAACUGCCCGAUGGAGGGGGAUAACUACUGGAAACGGUAGCUAAUACCGCAUCAUGUCGCAAGACCAAAGAGGGGGACCUUCGGGCCGCUUGCCAGCGGAUGUGCCCAGAUGGGAUUAGCUAGUUGGUGAGGUAAUGGCUCACCAAGGCGACGAUCCCUAGCUGGUCUGAGAGGAUGACCAGCCACACUGGAACUGAGACACGGUCCAGACUCCUACGGGAGGCAGCAGUGGGGAAUAUUGCACAAUGGGCGCAAGCCUGAUGCAGCCAUGCCGCGUGUGUGAAGAAGGCCUUCGGGUUGUAAAGCACUUUCAGCGGGGAGGAAGGCAAUGCGGUUAAUAACCGUGUUGAUUGACGUUACCCGCAGAAGAAGCACCGGCUAACUCCGUGCCAGCCGCCGCCGUAA